GGGCCCGUAGCUCAGCCUGGUAGAGCGCCGGCCUUUUAAGCCGGGUGUCGCGGGUUCGAAUCCCGCCGGGCCCA
rnacentral:tRNA from 1 species